UUUGCUUAAUUGCCCAUACCGUUGUUAAGUACCAAAGAGAGUCAUGGGAUUUUGGAUUCAAUCUGGGAAGAGCACACUGAGCAAUUAAAUGCAGAUUUUCUAAUCUAUCUUUACAUUUAAAAUGUUGUAGUCUUCCAUCAAAACAUUAAUCCAGGUAUGACCAUUUAAACCAGAAAAUCUGUAUGCAGGCUUCUAUUGACCAUCAAGCAGAUGUUCACCCUACUUAAUAUGCAUAAGAUAUAAUGUGAAAACAUUAGUUCUCUUUAAAAUUGUUCCCUAAGAUGGAGAACGACCAUCAUAUAUAAACACAUACUGUCAUGUCUGCAGUCAUAAUAGUUUCAGCAGGCUGAGGUAAAGAAUAUUAUUUGCUGAAGGAAUUAUGACAAAUUUCAUGCAAAUUACAGCUAAUUGUUUUCCUGUCCUGCAUGAAGAGAAUUAGUUUUUGGUGGUCAUAUCAGAACAAACUCAGGAAAUCAUUCACUGGUAGCUCUGAUUAUUUCAUAGCCAGUCUCUGUCCUACAGACACGGUCUAACCCUGAAGACUUAACGUAUACAUGGAAUUUUAGAGAAUUCUUGAAAAACCUAAGCCCUAACUGAAAGAAAUCCAUGAAGAGAGAAUAUGAAGGACGUGAUAAUCAAAAAUUGGUUCAAAUAAAAAAAUUUUUUUUUUAAUUUAACCCAAAAUCAUUUAAGAUUUCCUAUUGGAGAUCUAUUUAAUUGUUAACAGCAGGGAAAUGUAUAGUAAAGUUGCAGAAAUCCUGGCCUAAGAUUUACAGUAAUCUGUAUUAAAAUAUAUUUUGAGAAAGUUUUCAGAGUGGGAGUUUUUUGAAAAUUUUCAGAUGGAUUAAAAGAUGGAGUAAAAAGUUCCCUCAAAUUUGUAUAUAUUUUAUACUACUCAACUCUCUGUCUUAAGACAAAAGAAGCUUUCAGGUCUUUCAGUUAAGGAAAAAAGUCUCAAGUGUAUGGUGGGUUUUACAAUUAUUUUUGUAUAGCAAAAAUGAGUCAGUAAAACUCUUUGUAGAAACAUAGCUGAAGGUAUGUAUCAGUUAGAAAAUAGUUUUAGUCAUUAGUCUUAGUAAUUCUGAUAUAGUCAAGAUUUUUAAUGUUGAGUUGAUUUUGCAGUGUUAAUUUACAGAGCCAUUUCAGACUUGAAUUAUGUUGGUAAUUUGUUUAGAUAGUGAAAGUUGAAAAUUGCAGUAAUUUUUCUGGUAAUGCUGAAGAAAAACACUAAAUUUCCUUGAAGUCCCUGAAGAAAGCUUGGGAGUGUAAUGCAUGUACUGUCUGCACUGGUUCCCCCACCCAGCAUUAUUCUAGAGCAGAAGAAAAAUGGAAACUAUUUCGUUACGCUUUUAUUGGUGUUCAUUUCAAACUUUGCACAAGACAUCAGUCAUCUUACAAUAAAGCUGUAACUUGUCUAAAGGCUUGUUUCUAAAGUUGAAAUAAAAUUUUCUGUUAUGAACUGUUUACAACUCUGCCUAGAAUAAGAAAAGAUCUAAUCAGAACCUUAAACAUGAAUAGAUUUCUGAGCUCUCUUGGAUAUGUUUGAGUUGCAGCAACAGCUGUGAGUGAAUAUUUAUUGAAGUAAGCAUGUUUUUGUAGCAGAAAUGUCCAGCUGUACUGUUCGAAUUCCAGCGUAAGUCUCAGAGUCCUAAAUAUUCUGAAGAAACUGGUCUGGAAGACUUUCUGGCAGCAUCUAAGGAGUUAAAAAUCUUUUUAAGUUACAACACAGUCAAUUGCUACAGAAAGCACUGCUGGAGUCUUCUAAGGCUGUAAAAGCAGAAAACUGCACUGGCAGAUGUUCACAGUUCCUUUCCAUAUUGCACUUAUCAAGAAUAUGGAAGUCUUCAAAUGCAACAGUUCAAACAACUUGAGGAUUAUCAUGGAGAUAAAGGCUGAGAGACAUGAACUGGAUGGAGCCUGAGAAAAAAAAGAAUAAAGCAAGGGACCAUAGCCUAAAGAGAACUCUAGGACUGCUUAACAUGGCAGGAGAGGAAGCAAUUGGAAGCCAUUACAAAUAACAGCUGUAAUAGUAAAAACAAGAUAAUUUGUAUUUACUGU